UGCAGAAAAAUGAAUUUCAUCCAAUUCUUAACAGAUUGCACUGUCCGGAAGAAAAUAAUGAGAGAAUACCAUGAGAUGGUACUAUAAUGAAGAUCAAGCUGACGGAGAAUCAACUCCAUUUGGAGUAUUUCUUGAUUGACUCUAAGAGGUUAGUUGCUUGUAUCCUGAAUAGAAAUUUGUAUUGACUAUGAUGAACACUUUAUUUAAGCCAAACAGUUAUCCCUGUCAUAAGAAUAAUUGAUGAUAAAAUAAGCUGAUAGAAAUAUAAAAUCAAGCUUACUAUCACUAGAUAUAAAAUAUG